UGUUUCGGCUAGGGGGCCAUCCCGGCUUACCAACCCGAUGCAAACUGCGAAUACCGGAGAAUGUUAUCACGGGAGACACACGGCGGGUGCUAACGUCCGUCGUGAAGAGGGAAACAACCCAGACCGCCAGCUAAGGUCCCAAAGUCAUGGUUAAGUGGGAAACGAUGUGGGAAGGCCCAGACAGCCAGGAUGUUGGCUUAGAAGCAGCCAUCAUUUAAAGAAAGCGUAAUAGCUCACUGGUCGAGUCGGCCUGCGCGGAAGAUGUAACGGGGCUAAACCAUGCACCGAAGCUGCGGCAGCGAACGUAUCACUUAAAGCGAUUCAGCGGGUUACGAUUGACGGAGCGAAGCGACGUCAAAGCGUAUACAAAGUCGAGUCGGUUUAAGGAUACGUUCGUUGGGUAGGGGAGCGUUCUGUAAGCCUGUGAAGGUGGCCUGUGAGGGUUGCUGGAGGUAUCAGAAGUGCGAAUGCUGACAUAAGUAACGAUAAAGCGGGUGAAAAGCCCGCUCGCCGGAAGACCAAGGGUUCCUGUCCAACGUUAAUCGGGGCAGGGUGAGUCGACCCCUAAGGCGAGGCCGAAAGGCGUAGUCGAUGGGAAACGGGUUAAUAUUCCCGUACUUGGUGUUACUGCGAAGGGGGGACGGAGAAG
rnacentral:rRNA from 1 species